GGGGAAUUUUCCGCAAUGGGCGAAAGCCUGACGGAGCAAUACCGCGUGAGGGAGGAAGGCUCUUGGGUUGUAAACCUCUUUUCUCAGGGAAGAAUUUUGACGGUACUUGAGGAAUAAGCAUCGGCUAACUCCGUGCCAGCAGCCGCGGUAAUACGGAGGAUGCAAGCGUUAUCCGGAAUGAUUGGGCGUAAAGCGUUCGCAGGUGGCAUUGAAAGUCUGCUGUUAAAGAGUCUGGCUCAACCAGAUACAGGCAGUGGAAACUACAAAGCUAGAGUGCGGUAGGGGCAGAGGGAAUUCCUGGUGUAGCGGUGAAAUGCGUAGAGUUCAGGAAGAACACCGGUGGCGAAAGCGCUCUGCUAGACCGCAACUGACACUGAGGGACGAAAGCUAGGGGAGCGAAUGGGAUUAGAUACCCCAGUAGUC
rnacentral:rRNA from 1 species